AGGAAGAGAUGCUGGUUGGAUAGCUGCUUCAUUAUUCGUUGCCAGAGUUUGUUUUGGAAUAAUUUGGGGAUAUUUGAUUGGCAAAAUUGAUCCGAAGAAGCUUAUAGUUAUAUUAGGAGUUUUUCAAAUUAUUUCUACAUUUUUGUUUGGACUAAGUCGUUCAUUUUAUUGGGCUUUAGUUACAAGAUUUUUACAAGGCACUUUUACAGCUACUGGCUUAGUUUCAAAAGUUAUUGUCAUUCAUCAGUCAAAUGAUACAAAUAUAGCACUUGCUUUUUCGAUAUUAUUUGGAGCGUAUACUUUAAGUGUUAUUGUUGGUCCAAGUUUUGCAGGGUUUUUAGUUUUCCUUGCAGAGCAGCAUCCAUUAUGUUUCAAAAAAG
rnacentral:lncRNA from 1 species